rnacentral:rRNA from 1 species
UACGGGGGGGGCUAGCGUUGUUCGGAAUUACUGGGCGUAAAGCGCGCGUAGGCGGCUUAGCAAGUUAGAGGUGAAAGCCCGAAGCUCAACUUCGGAAUUGCCUUUAAAACUGCUAAGCUAGAAUCAUGGAGAGGUGAGUGGAAUUCCGAGUGUAGAGGUGAAAUUCGUAGAUAUUCGGAAGAACACCAGUGGCGAAGGCGACUCACUGGACAUGUAUUGACGCUGAGGUGCGAAAGCGUGGGGAGCAAACAGG